AGUGAGGGCAGCCUGGCAGCGGCAUUAAUCGGGGAGUGGAUAGCUUCACUUCGGGAGGAGAGAUAGAGAUUGGCAGCCAUCUUGCUUUGGGGCAAGCUGGCAACGCCGGUUUGUCUUGACGGCUGCUUAGGGCGGUAAUAAGGGAUCGAAGAGGAUAGCAUUCUUGAAUGGGAAACAUUGGUGGCGCCACAGCUGGCUGGUGGCGACUUCAAGACCCACUGGAAGGCUGGGAUUGGCAGCCAUGACUCAUAAGGGCGGAAUACCACGGGGAUCGGUUUGUCUGGCGAACUUGAGUGAAGGGUCAAGAUCUGGAUUUCACCUUUCCUCUGAGCUUCCUGAUAACCCGGACGUUCCGUAAACCCGGAUCCGGAGCCGAAAGUGGUGCCCAGAUCCCGUCUCGGAAUUCAUUUGUUCAGCAUUUACCUUUUGAACGCCGGUUUCCUGUAGGAAGUGUCGCCUAGCUGAUCCGUGUAGGGCUGUUGGGAAUUGGGGGUGGGGAGGAUGGUGCGGGUACGUUCUGGUGUGGCUUAAGAAAGUGGUAAUAGAUAGGGGAAGACCAGAUUAUGCGAAGCCUUGUAAAUUAAUUGAUUUUUAUCCUUAAGGCAAUGAAAAGUCUUUGAAGAAUCUCAGCAGAGGUGUGAACAAUUUCAUUUGCAU
rnacentral:lncRNA from 10 species